rnacentral:rRNA from 2 species
UGAGCUGGUGUGGGCCGCAGAGACCAGUGAGAAGCGACUGUUUACUAAAAACACAGGUCCGUGCGAAGUCGUAAGACGAUGUAUACGGACUGACGCCUGCCCGGUGCUGGAAGGUUAAGAGGACCGGUUAGCCAGUGAUGGCGAAGCUGAGAAUUUAAGCCCCAGUAAACGGCGGUGGUAACUAUAACCAUCCUAAGGUAGCGAAAUUCCUUGUCGGGUAAGUUCCGACCUGCACGAAUGGCGUAACGACUUCUCAGCUGUCUCAACCAUAGACUCGGCGAAAUUGCAUUACGAGUAAAGAUGCUCGUUACGCGCGGCAGGACGAAAAGACCCCGGGACCUUCACUACAGCUUGGUAUUGGUGUUCGGUUCGGUUUGUGUAGGAUAGGUGGGAGACUGUGAAGCGGUGACGCCAGUUACUGUGGAGUCGUUGUUGAAAUACCACUCUGAUCGUAUUGGAUACCUCAACCUCGGACCAUGAUCUGGUUCAGGGACAGUGCCUGGUGGGUAGUUUAACUGGGGCGGUUGCCUCCUAAAAUGUAACGGAGGCGCCCAAAGGUUCCCUCAGCCUGGUUGGCAAUCAGGUGUCGAGUGCAAGUGCACAAGGGAGCUUGACUGUGAGACUGACAAGUCGAGCAGGGACGAAAGUCGGGACUAGUGAUCCGGCACCGGCAAGUGGAAGCGGUGUCGCUCAACGGAUAAAAGGUACCCCGGGGAUAACAGGCUGAUCUUCCCCAAGAGUCCAUAUCGACGGGAUGGUUUGGCACCUCGAUGUCGGCUCGUCGCAUCCUGGGGCUGGAGUAGGUCCCAAGGGUUGGGCUGUUCGCCCAUUAAAGCGGCACGCGAGCUGGGUUUAGAACGUCGUGAGACAGUUCGGUCUCUAUCCGCCGCGCGCGUAAGAAACUUGAGGAAGGCUGUCCCUAGUACGAGAGGACCGGGACGGACGAACCUCUGGUGUGCCAGUUGUUCCACCAGGAGCACCGCUGGUUGGCUACGUUCGGAAGGGAUAACCGCUGAAAGCAUCUAAGCGGGAAGCCUGUUCCAAGAUGAGGUUUCUCACCCCCUCGAGGGGGUAAGGCCCCCGGCAGACCACCGGGUUGAUAGGCCAGAACUGGAAGUACAGCAAUGUAUGCAGGUGACUGGUACUAAUAGGCCGAGGACUUACCACA